CUCGCAUCUCGCAUUAGAUUCAACAAGUAUUUAGAGGUUUUCAGUCCGAUUUUGUUUCAAUUCAGUGAUUUAGUGCACAAUUAAUGAUCUACAUUGGCGAUGACAUUAUUUGCAAGCUUUUGUUAUAUGUAUUGCUGUGAAUUUGUUGCUUUGAUUUGAUGUAAAACUUAAUGUUCGUCGUAUUUGGGAUUAUAAAGUGCGUUGACAAUUUGAUGAUUGUUGAUAUCGUUUCGAGAAAUAGGUUAUGGCUAAUACAUAUACUACAGUUCCAAAUAUUUUCUUUUAUGGAUGACGGUGAAGAAACUCUAUUCUACAUGAUGGAGGCCCAUGUAAAUGUUUUAUUGUACAAAACCAUCCUAUAUUUAAUAACUACAUGAGGUAACUUGAGUAAGAAUUUGUGGAUGUUAGUACUUGCAUGUUUUUUAUCGCAAUGGAUAUAUUCCUGAUUUGUAUGAUUAAAUGUCCACGAAACACUUUAAGGUACAUGUAAAUCGUAAUACAUUAUUGAAAUCUUAGCCAUUUGAUCUACUAUUAAAGCUGGAUUCUGCAAGUUUAUGAAACAUGCAUCUUUAUUUACUAAUUUCUGUCAGUAAUUGUUGUCUGUUUUAAUAUGAAUUCAGCAGUUAAUUUACGGUGUACAUAUUUUGCU